GUUCAAGAGAACCCCUGUAGCCACUUCAAGAUCACCCAUCUAGGGUGUUUGACUCGUGUCACUGCCCACCAUUGUAGCCAUCCCUGCUGCCGAUCAGUGCCCUGCCAAAUUCCGGUGACCUAAGGUGGCGUGUGUAACUCACCCACGCCUUUUGUCAGAUUUUUCUUGCUUCUCCAAGCACUGGCAUGUGUGCUAUUUUCU
rnacentral:misc_RNA from 1 species